rnacentral:rRNA from 1 species
GCAUGACUUAGCAGGCGCGUAUUCGCCCUUAGAGUUUGAUCCUGGCUCAGAACGAACGCUGGCGGCGCGUUUUAAGCAUGCAAGUCGAACGGUAGAGUGUCUUCGGACACUUUAGAGUGGCGAACGGGUGAGUAACACGUAGGUGAUCUGCCACGAGGUUGGGGAUAGCCCAUGGAAACAUGGGGUAAUACCGAAUGAGCUCUUUUCACUAUGGUGAAUUGAGGAAAGGUGCUCCGGCACCGCCUUGUGAUGAGCCUGCGCCUGAUUAGCUAGUUGGCGGGGUAACGGCCCACCAAGGCAACGAUCAGUAGCCGGCCUGAGAGGGUGAUCGGCCACACUGGGACUGAGAUACGGCCCAGACUCCUACGGGAGGCAGCAGCUAAGAAUCUUCCGCAAUGGACGAAAGUCUGACGGAGCGACGCCGCGUGAACGAUGAAGGCCUAACGGUUGUAAAGUUCUUUUCUUGCUGAGGAAUAAGCCUGGGAGGGAAUGCCCGGGUGAUGACGGUAUGCAAGGAAUAAGCCCCGGCCAAUUACGUGCCAGCAGCCGCGGUAACACGUAUGGGGCGAGCGUUGUUCGGAAUCAUUGGGCGUAAAGGGCGCGCAGGCGGUUGCGUAAGCCUGGUGUGAAAGACCGCAGCUUAACUGCGGGAUCGCGCUGGGAACUGUGUAACUAGAGUUCAAGAGGGGGAGUUGGAAUUCCAGGUGUAGGGGUGAAAUCUGUAGAUAUCUGGAAGAACAUCGGUGGCGAAGGCGAACUCCUGGCUAUGAACUGACGCUGAGGCGCGAAAGCGUGGGGAGCGAACAGGAUUAGAUACCUUGGUAGUCCACGCCGUAAACGUUGUGCACUAGUGUUGGGCCAUGACGGUUCAGUGCCGUAGCUAACGCGUUAAGUGCACCGCCUGGGGAGUAUGCUCGCAGAGUGAAACUCAAAGGAUUGACGGGGCCGCACAGCGUGAGCAUGUGGUUUAUCGAUGAUACGCGAGAACCUACAGGCUGAC